AACGGCGAGUGAAGCGGCAAGAGCUCAAAUUUGAAAUCUGGCCUCCCCCGGGGGCCGAGUUGUAAUUUGCAGAGGAUGUUUCGGGUGCGGCCGCCGUCUAAGUUCCUUGGAACAGGACGUCAGAGAGGGUGAGAAUCCCGUCUUGGGCGGGCGGUCCGCGCCCGUGUGAAGCUCCUUCGACGAGUCGAGUUGUUUGGGAAUGCAGCUCUAAGCGGGUGGUAAAUUUCAUCUAAAGCUAAAUAUUGGCCGGAGACCGAUAGCGCACAAGUAGAGUGAUCGAAAGGUUAAAAGCACCUUGAAAAGGGAGUUAAACAGCACGUGAAAUUGUUGAAAGGGAAGCGCUUGCGGCCAGACUCGGGGGCGGGGUUCAGCGGGUGCUCGUCGCCCGUGUAUUCCUCGUUUCCCGGGCCAGCAUCAGUUUCGACGGCCGGUCAAAGGCCCCCGGAAUGUGUCGUCUCUCGGGACGUCUUAUAGCCGGGGGUGCAAUGCGGCCCGUCGGGACUGAGGAACGCGCUCCGGCUCGGAUGCUGGCGUAAUGGCCGUAAGCGGCCCGUCUUGAAACACGGACCAAGGAGUCUAACAUCCACGCGAGUGUUCGGGUGUCAAACCCGUGCGCGCAGUGAAAGCGAACGGAGGUGGGAGCCCUAGGGCGCACCAUCGACCGAUCCUGAAGUCUUCGGAUGGAUUUGAGUAGGAGCGUGGCCGUUGGGACCCGAAAGAUGGUGAACUAUGCCUGAAUAGGGUGAAGCCAGAGGAAACUCUGGUGGAGGCUCGCAGCGGUUCUGACGUGCAAAUCGAUCGUCAAAUUU
rnacentral:rRNA from 1 species